rnacentral:misc_RNA from 1 species
UCUAAGGAGUAUUUGGUGCCAUUGCCUGGAUGUGGUGUUCUGGUGGUGGCUUUUGUGGGUGGAACGCUGACAUUUUCCUGCCGGCUUGAUUGGGUUGGUGGGGCAGCACACUGUUGGGUCCUGAGGGAAUGAGCACUCGCCUGGUGUGGGUGGCCCUUGGUAGGAAGGUUGUGGUGGGCCGCUGUCCCACCGAACGGCUCGCGGCCUGGCCCUAGGGUUGUGUGGGGUUGUGGUGGUGGGUUUGCGGUGAGCGGUGAUGGCGGUGCUGUCCGUACUUUGAGAACUGCACAGUGGAUGCGAGCAUCUUUGUGGCCAAGUUAGUAAGGGCGCACGGUGGAUGCCUAGGCAUCAGGAGCCGAUGAAGGACGUGGGAGGCUGCGAUAAGCCUCGGGGAGCUGCCAACCGAGCUGAGAUCCGAGGAUGU